rnacentral:rRNA from 1 species
UACAGAGGGGGCAAGCGUUAUUCGGAAUUAUUGGGCGUAAAGGGCGCGUAGGCGGCCUUGCAAGUGGCGGGUGAAAUCCCUCGGCUUAACCGAGGAACUGCCUGCCAGACUGCAAGGCUCGAGACCGGGAGAGGUGAGUGGAAUUCCCAGUGUAGCGGUGAAAUGCGUAGAUAUUGGGAGGAACACCAGUGGCGAAGGCGGCUCUCUGGACCGGAACUGACGCUGAGGCGCGAAAGCGUGGGGAGCAAACAGG